rnacentral:rRNA from 1 species
UACGGAGGGUCCAAGCGUUAUCCGGAUUUAUUGGGUUUAAAGGGUGCGUAGGUGGCUUAUUAAGUCAGGGGUGAAAGACGGUAGCUUAACUAUCGCAGUGCCUUUGAUACUGAUGAGCUUGAAUGAACUAGAGGUAGGCGGAAUGUGACAAGUAGCGGUGAAAUGCAUAGAUAUGUCACAGAACACCAAUUGCGAAGGCAGCUUACUAUGGUUUUAUUGACACUGAGGCACGAAAGCGUGGGGAUCAAACAGG